UCGGGAAUUUUGGGCAAUGGGCGAAAGCCUGACCCAGCAACGCCGCGUGAAGGAUGAAGUAUUUCGGUAUGUAAACUUCGAAAGAAUAGGAAGAAUAAAUGACGGUACUAUUUAUAAGGUCCGGCUAACUACGUGCCAGCAGCCGCGGUAAUACGUAGGGACCAAGCGUUGUUCGGAUUUACUGGGCGUAAAGGGCGCGUAGGCGGCAAUUCAAGUCAUCUGUGAAAUCUCCGGGCUUAACUCGGAACGGUCAGAUGAUACUGCUUUGCUAGAGUGCAGAAGGGGCAAUCGGAAUUCUUGGUGUAGCGGUGAAAUGCGUAGAUAUCAAGAGGAACACCUGAGGUGAAGACGGGUUGCUGGGCUGACACUGACGCUGAGGCGCGAAAGCCAGGGGAGCAAACGGGAUUAGAUACCCACGUAGUCCCUG
rnacentral:rRNA from 1 species